CGCGGCCUAUCAGCUUGUUGGUGAGGUAACGGCUCACCAAGGCAUCGACGGGUAGCUGGUCUGAGAGGACGAUCAGCCACACUGGGACUGAGACACGGCCCAGACUCCUACGGGAGGCAGCAGUAGGGAAUCUUGCGCAAUGGGCGAAAGCCUGACGCAGCAACGCCGCGUGGGGGAUGAAUGCCUUCGGGUUGUAAACCCCUUUCAGCAGGGACGAAAAUGACGGUACCUGCAGAAGAAGCUCCGGCCAACUACGUGCCAGCAGCCGCGGUAAUACGUAGGGAGCGAGCGUUGUCCGGAAUUAUUGGGCGUAAAGAGCUCGUAGGCGGUUCAGUAAGUCGGGUGUGAAAACUCAAGGCUCAACCUUGAGACGCCACUCGAUACUGCUGUGACUUGAGUCCGGUAGAGGAGUGUGGAAUUCCUGGUGUAGCGGUGAAAUGCGCAGAUAUCAGGAGGAACACCAGCGGCGAAGGCGGCACUCUGGGCCGGUACUGACGCUGAGGAGCGAAAGCAUGGGGAGCAAACAGGAUUAGAUACCCUGGUAGUCCAUGCCGUAAACGUUGGGCACUAGGUAUGGGAUCAUAUCAACGGAUUCCGUGCCGUAGCUAACGCGUUAAGUGCCCCGCCUGGGGAGUACGG
rnacentral:rRNA from 1 species